GUGAGGGACAAACAAAGUGACAAUAUGAAUGACAAAAAUGUAUAUGCAGGAAUAAAUAACCAUGUUUCAACUCAUUGCAGGGUGUCUUCCUCUCUCUUGUACUCAACUUAUUUAUUUACAACAUAGGACAGUCCUGACAGGGGCGACACUGGGAGGGCUAGAAAUUUUGGCUCUUAGAAUAUUAUGUCAGUUUCCUUGUUGCAGUUCGUCCUUAGAUUCGUCAUGUGUCUCUAUAACAUAUCUCUGAGGUCUCAUUAGGACCCAACAUGACGAAUAUUAUGUCAGUUUCCUUGUUGCAGUUCGUCCUUAGAUUCGUCAUGUGUCUCUAUAACAUAUCUCUGAGGUCUCAUUAGGACCCAACAUGAGUUAGAUUUCUUAAUACAAAACUGAAUCUAUCUAUUAAGG